rnacentral:misc_RNA from 1 species
GGACAUUCUGCGAAACAAAUGCCGACGAUCGCGCAUGUGCAAAUGGGGUGCGCAAUUUCAAGUUGUCCGCAGAAGCGUUAGCCAUUGCAGAGGCUAUCAAACUAGUUCUUCCAAGGCAAUCGGAAAACAAAAUCGUCAUCUGCUCCGAUUCACUCAGUUGCCUUACCAAACUAAAUCACAUAGGAUUAGACUCUAAUUUGCCUAACACUUUCGCCUUCAUUAAAUCUGAACUGGCUAAGGCCUUUGAUUAUGCUCAAAAUAUAAAACUUAUCCGGAUACCUAGCCACUCGGGAAUCAUAGUCGAUCCUCUGUUACUAUCUUGUAAUCUCCCUCCAAGAAGAAGGCGGACAGGAAGGAAGCCGCGGCAACAUCCCAACAGGGACCGGGUUCUGACGUCCGCUCUGAACUCUCCUGCAGGCUGGACCAGACACAAGAAAGAAAGAGGGGGAGGAGAGGGGUAUUGAAACAAAAUAUAAAAAUAUAAAUUAAAACUUCAAUAAAUAAAACAAAUAAACUAGAAAUUAAAAGAAUUCUAGUGAUAAUAAGAAUUACAUACAGAUAAAUAUCAAACUUAAGAGUUGCAACUGGACUAACUAUACGAAUCUAAUUUUUUAAUAGAUAAAAACUAAGUUAAGGAUAACUUAAGUGUUUAGUUAUAAGAACAGUAGUAAUAACAAGGAAAUUAAAUAAGAAUUAAACGAGAGAAGAAUCGGUUGAGUUUAAACGAAUAUACAGUUUAUUUGGGACAUGACUCAUUAGAGUUAUACCUGCUGGAAUUAAAAAAAAAAAAAAAGACUAACCUGAUACGCAACUGUUUAUACCGUGUGCACCAAAUGAUUUGGUUCGCCAUUUGGUGCUUGGUACGCGUAUCAAGUAUGCGGUGUAUGUAUGGCUAAUCCGGGUCAGAAUGUUUUUUUACAGGUUAUGAAAACAAACAAGGUUUCAAGAUUAUCAAUUCAGACAAUUUAUUACGUCGUUGACAAUUAACUACAGUACUAUUUACUUACUCAACUAACUUAUAACUUGAAGGUAAAAUAUUCAAAUUGAUUCUAUUAAAUAAAAUACUGGUAAUUUGUGCACCUGAAAUGAUGCCAAUGUGUUAUAAAUAACGUGGGAACAGUCAUAGAAAAUUGCAAUAUACAUAUAAAUAGAUAAUUAUAACGAGUCAUCCUAAAUUAUCACAUGCAGAGGCACAUUGAUUAUAUAAAAGUCACUCCUAAUCGAAUAUUAGGAGUUGAUGAAUGAAUUAGAAUUCUGGAUAGAACAUUACAGUUAUAUCCAUCUGGAGUGAGUCAGGAAA